CUGCCUGUCUGUCUCUGUAAUAUAUUGAUGUCCAAUUGCAUGUGCAUGAUCUUUAUAUAAAGUGUAAUAUGUUUUAUCUAAAGGGAUUUGUAAAGUAUACAGAAAUGAACUGUAAAUCUUAAAAGUGUUAUAAGUAAUAUCGUUAUCUUGUGUCUAUGUACUGCCAUGAUGUUUAUGAUUGAAUUAUGUAUGUUUUAGGGCAGAUCUGGACUUCCAUUUGUCCAAAUAAAUCCCUCGAACCACUACAAGUACUCCCUUGUUUCUUGAGAUGACAUGGGUACCGCU
rnacentral:lncRNA from 1 species